GGUGAGGUGCUGUAGCUCAGUGGCAGAGCAGCUGCUUUGAUUGCAGAAAGUUCCAGUUUUAAUCCCUGGCAAAGAUCCUUACCU